UACGAAGGGGGCUAGCGUUGCUCGGAAUCACUGGGCGUAAAGGGUGCGUAGGCGGGUCUUUAAGUCAGGGGUGAAAUCCUGGAGCUCAACUCCAGAACUGCCUUUGAUACUGAAGAUCUUGAGUUCGGGAGAGGUGAGUGGAACUGCGAGUGUAGAGGUGAAAUUCGUAGAUAUUCGCAAGAACACCAGUGGCGAAGGCGGCUCACUGACCCGGUACUGACGCUGAGGUGCGAAAGCGUGGGGAGCAAACAGGG
rnacentral:rRNA from 1 species